GAAGAGAAGACUUAGAAUCUUCGCAGCUCCCUCGUGUUAAUAGUGACAUUCAUGGCCGGAUGUCAUGGUUAGUGAAUC
rnacentral:ncRNA from 1 species